rnacentral:rRNA from 1 species
AACGAACGCUGGCGGCAUGCCUAACACAUGCAAGUCGAACGAGACCAUCGGGUGUUUUGGCGCAUGGCGGCGUCACGGGUCGGAACCGGCCCUCAGGUUCGGCAUACCUCUCCGACAGGGAUGCUAACACCAGAUCAUGUCUACUGCCCGAUGAUUUAUCGCCUUUGGAUGGGCACUCGUGGGAUUAGCUUGUUCGUAGGGUAAAAGCCUCCUAAGGGGCCGAUCACUAGCUGGGCUGUGAGAAUGCUCAGCCACACUGAGACUGGGACACGGCCGAGACUCUUACGGGAGGCAGCAGUGGGGAAUAUUGGACAGCGGGGGGAAUGCUGAUCCAGCACGGACGCGAGAGUGCUGUAGGCAUUAGGGUAGUAAAGCUCUAUUAACCGGGAUGAUAAUGACGGUACCGGGAGAAUAAGCCCCGGCUAACUCCGUG